AAAAGGAUACUAGAGAGCUCUUUCAUUCUCUUUCCACCUUGUGACAAUAUGAGAAGUCAGCUGUCUGUAACCUGGAAAGGGACACUUGGCAGAAUCCAACUGUGCUGGCACCCUGAUUUUGGAUAUCCAGCCUGCAGAACUGUGAGGAAUAAAUUUCUCUUGUUUAUGCCACCCAGUCUGUGGUAUUAUGUUAUGGCAGUCCUAGCAAACUAAAAUAAAAUCUUUCUCCUCCACUAGAUUCUGAACCAUUGGUUCAGUAGUCAUUCAGCUACAUGGUUCCUGACACAUGGAAUAACCAAUUUUAUACAGAGUCAUUUCCAUGAGAAAAUAACCCCAGGAAAACUGGCUGUGCUUACCUUGUUAGGAAAGUUGUCAGAGUGGUCCUGAGCUGGAGAAGCAAAAGAAGAAUUAUCAAUCCAAGGAAAUGCAAAGCUGACCUAAGGUGAUUCUAGCUGAAGGAGGUGGCAGUUGGAGGGUAGGGAGGUAGCCCAUGAUCAGUUAAGGAAUUUACUUCCCUCAGAGUGUCUGGUCCAGACCCAGCACGUUAGUACCAGAGGAGGGGGCAGGGGCAGAGCCACAGGAGGCCACAAUCCACUUCUGAAGAGUUCUACCAGUUUACAAGGCCUUGAUUUUUGCCCAGACGUGUUUCUCAGCAACAUGCUCCAAUGGCAAGGAGGGGCAUUGAGGCUUGCAGCACCCACAGCACCCACAAGACAAGGAAAGUCUCACCAAGGGAGAAUGCCCACAUCCGUAAUAGAGGCAGGAGGCGGAAGGAGUAAGGCUGAGGAAAUGGCUCCUGGAAACAUGGGUUCUUCCUCAGGCCUGCCUGGCCUAGGCAGAGUGAGCUUCUCUCCUCAGAUGUGUCUCAGGGGACUCUUGUGGCUAGAAAGGGUGUGAAGACCUAUGCCACCUUAGGGGUGGGAAAUAGACAUCCUUUCGUGAAAAUUCAGAAGGGAGGGAGUGGUUUGGGAAUCCAGGAUUCCCUGCCGGGGAGGGCAUGUGGUGGAACAUACCAGUUCUCAUUGGAUAAGUGGCUUUACUUACUGUGGUUGGAGUCUGAGAGUUUGUGCUCUGUGAGAUCACGCUGGUCGCUUGCCCUAAAUAAAUAUCAGACACUGUGACUGCCAUUCCCAAGCAUAGGAUCUUUGUUCCCUGAGUUAGGAAGGGCACUGUGAGCAGGUCAUUCCUUGGGGUCCUUGAUGUUGAUACUGCCUUUCUUCUGAGCGCCUCGUUCUUCAGUCUAACUGCAAUCCCUUCUAGUGUCUCCUCUUUUCCUGUUUGCUAGAUGUUCACAUUUCAUUCCAUUCUUUAUCAGCUGCUUCUCUGUCUACUUGUAUCCUUAAGACCUUUCCCAUUUUGUUUUCUGGGGUACUUAUUUUUCCUAUUUAUUGUUCAAGAGGACUGUGGUUGUUUUUGCUCUCUCUCAGGUUCUCUUCCUAUCCUAUCUCUCCCUCCUCUUGCUACUGUGCACGUGACUUGCUUUCUCCUGCUGCUUCUUUUAUGUUUUCAUUUGUAUUCCUUCUUAGACCUUGGUUUCCGUGACUGGGGGACAGAGGAACAUAAUUGAGUCUCUUCCUCUAGAUUAGAUGGGGAUUGGAAUAACCAUGUUCAAGAGACAAUGGGAGACAGGGAGCUUGAAGACCAGGGAAGAGGAGACCUGCAGGAAUUAGUGCCGAGAAGCAGGAGUUUAGUGGGAGGAGGAGAUCCAGGCCCAGAGACAGGCAAAGAAGUUCUUUUCCUCUCCCAAGCAUGGCAGUCAGCCUUGGAGGAAACAGAACAAGAGGAAAGGCCAUCAUACCUGCCGGUCUUCCUGGAAUGCAGAAAAUACACCACCAGGGCUGCUAUCAGAGCCAUCCCGGCCAGUACUCCAAUCACAAUGCCAGCAAUGGCCCCCCGUGAGAGGCCAGAACUUUCCAUGUCUGUCAUGGAAAGAAAAGAGGAGAAGAAAUGAAGGUGAAAUUAUUUUACAUUGGGGGCUGGAAACAAUUCUCAGAAUGAAGUCUAAUACAGUUCCUUCAAGGAAUACAGUUUUGUUGUAGGAGGGUUGCUGGAAGAUGAUUAGCUAAGUAUAUCCUUGCAAUUUUUUUGUUUUUCUGUCAACCAUGUUUCUAGGUUGAUGAUCAGUCUUCUGUCAAUUCCAUUCUGGCCUUUCUGCGCUCAGACAUUUUUGAAGAUUUUGAAAUGUGAGAAAGGCUGAUUGCUAUUUUGUAUGUGAUUAGAACUUUCCACCUUUUUUUUUGUGAUUGCAUCUUUUUCUCAGUGUCUCAGUUGUGGCAGUCAGUGCAUUCUGAAUUCAGCACCUCUUUUGCAUAGGCACCUUGCUUCCCACAGGCUCCCAGCAAGGGUUUGAAAGCAAGCCCAGUUCUGUGUGACUGUUUUACUCUGAAGUGUGAAUGGCUGGAGGACUCCCUGUCAACCUUGCAGAAACUCUUAGAACUGCACUGCAAUCUAAAACUUCCUUUGUCUCUUUCUCUUCCACAGGAAUCAGAUCUGCAUCAUGAUCUGAGGGCUCUCUCAGGUUCCUCUCACUCUCACCUCACUUCCCUAAUAGGCAUUUCCCCCAAUAAAUUAUCUCAUAUGUUUAAUCC